AAGCCAUUUUGGCCCAAUACUGCCUAAUAUGAUGACUUUCGCUUCCUGUUAACAACAAACAAACUCGUGCAACUUUUAGGGUUUUUCUCUCUCUCUCCUCGCAAUCUUCUAUUCCAGGAACUAGAGAAACCGAGGAUUGAGGGAUGUACUCCUCUCUUUCUUCUAUUCGCCAUGCUCGUCGAUCUUCGUCUCUAAUCGCUUUCCUCGCUCGCAUGGCGAUCUCACUGUUGCUUCGAGGUCUUUCUUUGCUUUUCCGGCGACAUAUGGUAGUGCAUGCUAUCAACCAUGACUCGGGCGGGAUCACGGCUUCCUAAGGCUGCACAACAUUUGCGUCAUAAUGAUAAUUUGCCUUUUGUGCGUCUGGAAGGAGAGGGAGGGAUGGCUUUGCAUGGGAGAAUUCUAUGAAUUAUUAUUAUUAUUUUUUCUCUAGUUUUACUUCUAGUCCUGAAUAUUACAAUGUUAACAUUGUCACUCAUGAAAGUCAUCUUCCUUUUAGCUUUGUAGCAUUUGGAGACCAAAAAUGUUUCAGUGUCAGCUUGUGACGACUGGUAGAGGAGUAAUGUUUCAUUAAAUAUAACUUUUUGUUUUGGUACUCAUGUCACUAAGACAAUUUAAUUGACUUUAAAUG